GACAAACGCUGGAGAUCUUGAGUCUCUUGAGGAAAGUCCAUGCUCGCACAGUCUGCGAUGGCUGUAGUGUUCGUGCCUAGGGAAAAAAUAACCUAGGGUAGUUAUGCUAACGGCGGAGAUAUUCCUAAGUCUUUGGAUAUGGAAUUAUCCAUAAAGUGCCACAGUGACGAUACUUUUCGAAAGGAAAGAGUGAAACGUGGUAAACCCCGCGAGCGAGAAACCCAAAUUUGGUAGGGGAGUCUUAAUGAAGGAAUUGAACGGAUUUAAGGACUGAGAAAUCAGUAGAUAGAUGUUUGUCACCUGAAAAGGUACAGAACAUGGCUUAUU
rnacentral:RNase_P_RNA from 1 species